GAUGAACGCUAGCGGGAGGCUUAACACAUGCAAGUCGAGGGGCAGCAUAGGGUAGCAAUACUCUGAUGGCGACCGGCAAACGGGUGAGUAACGCGUAUGCAACCUACCCUGUACAGGGGGAUAACCCGGAGAAAUUCGGACUAAUAUCCCGUAAUAAUAUCCGGAGGCAUCUUUGGAUAUUUAAAGUUUCGACGGUACGGGAUGGGCAUGCGUAACAUUAGCUGGUUGGUAAGGUGACGGCUUACCAAGGCUAUGAUGUUUAGGGGUCCUGAGAGGGUGGUCCCCCACACUGGUACUGAGACACGGACCAGACUCCUACGGGAGGCAGCAGUGAGGAAUAUUGGUCAAUGGGCGCAAGCCUGAACCAGCCACCCCGCGUGCAGGAAGACGGCCCUAUGGGUUGUAAACUGCUUUUCCAGGGAGAGAAACUUACGCACGUGUUGCGUGACUGACGGUACCCUGGGAAUAAGCAUCGGCUAACUCCGUG
rnacentral:rRNA from 1 species